UUGUGCAGAAUAGAUAAAUCUGGCUCAUGCUAUCUAUGUAAAUAUGCUAACUAGCUAAAUAUCAACAAUCUCUCUCCAGAAUCGCAGACUCCACUUUGAUCUACACCAAAGUUA